AUACGUAGGGGGCGAGCGUUGUCCGGAAUGAUUGGGCGUAAAGGGCGCAUAGGCGGCCCGGUAAGUCUGGAGUGAAAGUCCUGUUUUUAAGAUGGGAAUUGCUUUGGAUACUGUCGGGCUUGAGUGCAGGAGAGGUAAGUGGAAUUCCCAGUGUAGCGGUGAAAUGCGUAGAGAUUGGGAGGAACACCAGUGGCGAAGGCGACUUACUGGACUGUAACUGACGCUGAGGCGCGAAAGUGUGGGGAGCAAACAGGAUUAGAUACCCUGGUAGUCCACACUGUAAACGAUGAAUGCUAGGUGUAGGGGGUAUCGACCCCUUCUGUGCCGCAGUCAACACAAUAAGCAUUCCGCCUGGGGAGUACGGCCGCAAGGUUGAAACUCAAAGGAAUUGACGGGG
rnacentral:rRNA from 1 species